GAUGAAGAACGCAGCGAAAUGCGAUAAGUAAUGUGAAUUGCAGAAUUCAGUGAAUCAUCGAAUCUUUGAACGCACAUUGCGCCCGCCAGUAUUCUGGCGGGCAUGCCUGUUCGAGCGUCAUUACAACCCUCAGACCCCCGGGCCUGGCGUUGGGGAUCGGCGGAAGCCCCCUGCGGGCACAACGCCGUCCCCCAAAUACAGUGGCGGUCCCGCCGCAGCUUCCAUUGCGUAGUAGCUAACACCUCGCAACUGGAGAGCGGCGCGGCCACGCCGUAAAACACCCAACUUCUGAAUGUUGACCUCGAAUCAGGUAGGAAUACCCGCUGAACUUAAGCAUAUCAAUAAGCGGAGGA
rnacentral:misc_RNA from 1 species